UCACGUUGUACGUCUGUGUUUGAAGUGUGUGUCGUAUGAAGAUCGUAAUCGCUCCCUGUAAAGGCUUCUUUAAAUACUAGUAUGAUGUUGUAAUUAUUGAAUAUCAUAUUGUGAUCCUAGUGCUGGAAUGCAUAAUAGCUUGCUGCAUUGUUUAAUUCUGUAAUCGUGCUUUGGCUGAGAUUGCAGAAGCGGCGAAGUUGAAAUUUCUGCAUUGAAGGAAUUCACAAAGGAGAAAGAAAAUUCCCACGGGAAAGGCGCAGGCGUUACAGCCGCAACGGAUAUCGCGUAAUCCGGAAAUAAGGGUCUCGGGGAGCGAGGACGUGGAGGAGCACUCGGGGUUCACCCGUAAUUUCGUGGACAAGGAUAAGAGGACACGAUAAAACCCUCUCGGUCUUCGAGGAUCUCCGGUCUGGUUUAAGAUGAAGACGACAGGCCGCUUCCGCAUCGAAUUCGUCAAAGUCUCGACACAUCGUUUGCGAGCCUCGCCACUUCCACGGUCAAACCUUCUCGAAUCAUCGUUCCACUGCAUUCCUGUCAGUGCAACUCUCGAUCGCACAAGAUUACAAAAUCAACGCGACGAGCCUUCGGCGCCACCUCCAGUAUCCGUUCAACGUGUUCCCGUCCACGGAACGCCUAUUUCCAACGGCAGAGAAUCCAGUAGACCCGGACCAGUUACUCGAACAUCAAAGAAUCGCGAUGUUCGCGGAUGUUCGCGACGAAAGCACUCCUAGACAGAGUUGUCGGUCACGGAACGCGGUGUACGAGGAGCGUGAAACACGUGUCUGUCUCGCGGCGCGUUCAGAACGCGACGCGGAGCACGCGAAACACCGACUCGCGCCAGCCGAAACGGAGCGGAUGGGCGUCGCUCGGGGAUUCACCUUCGCCAGUUGUGUCUUUUCCGCGCGUAGAUCGAGCGUGCGACGCGCUCACGCCUUCGUGGCACGCCUCGAUCACAAAUCAUCGACGGCCUGUCGUGAACCGCGUCUUUGUGCCACUCUUUGCGCGAGAGCGCUCCCGAUGCCUCGACGGCGAAGACUGUGGAAAAGAUUCAUGGGAGCCGGGGACGGGAAUAGUUCUGUCGUCGGGACAGCUUCGACGACGGCGACGCCUCCUGGUCUCCACUCGGCCGACGCGGAAUGCGGCCGGAGGAUUUGCCCUAGCGAUGGGCUUGAUUCGUAGAUCGACUUACAGCUUUAAUCGCGAGAUCGAGGGGUUCGUUUAUGGAAGAAAGUGGACUGGCGAUGACAUACUGCCGCGAUGCAUCUGAAUGCUGUUCGAUAGUUUGGGAUAUAUUAAA